CUGGAAACUUCAUUGAUGUUCAAUUUGUUAAAGGUAAUACUAUACCUAUCAAGGAGAGACUAUCAGCCCUAGCUGUUGAAGCUAUUGAUGGGAGACCACUCCCACAACCAUUGAUUACACACGAAACCUUACCCAUUAAUGUGUCCAUUGGUGCCUUACAUAAGGAAGAGAUUACAUUUCAGGUUAUUGCAUCCCUUUCCUGUCCGAUCAUAUUAGGCUUUCCAUGGCUUAACAAGCAUAACCCUCAUAUUGAGUGGGCUAAUGGGGAAAUAUUAGAAUGGGGUAAGGAUUGUUAUGAAAGGUGUAUAUUGAAUCUUGUCAAAAGAGUGGGCACUAUUGGAUUACCCACUAGUACACCUCAAAACCCAGAAAUCCCUAUACAGUACCAAGACAUUAAAGAAGUAUUCAGCAAAACUCAGUCGAAUACUCUACCUCCUCACAGACCUUAUGACUGUUCUAUUAAUUUACU